AGAGUUUGAUCAUGGCUCAGGAUGAACGCUAGCUACAGGCUUAACACAUGCAAGUCGAGGGGCAGCAUGUUGGUUGCUUGCAACCAACGAUGGCGACCGGCGCACGGGUGAGUAACGCGUAUCCAACCUACCCUUGUCCAUCGGAUAACCCGUCGAAAGGCGGCCUAACACGAUAUGCGGUUCACAGCAGGCAUCUAACGUGAGCGAAAUGUGAAGGAGAAGGAUGGGGAUGCGUCUGAUUAGCUUGUUGGCGGGGUAACGCCACAAGGCUACGAUCAGUAGGGGUUCUGAGAGGAACGGUCCCCCANAUUGGAACUGAGACACGGUCCAAACUCCUACGGGAGGCA
rnacentral:rRNA from 1 species